AUGAAAUAUGAAUUAAUGGCAAAUGAACUGAAUGUGAUGUAUAAAUGCCACAUAAAGAUAAUUUCCUAUGUGAUGACUUGGGAUGAUAUUGCAACAACCUAUCACAAAAAUCAUAACAAAGUUAUCGAUUUGCCCCUAAAUAUAGGAACAUACAUCCAGACUAAUGUCCUCAAAAAGACACUGGAAACAUCUCCUUUGAAAAGAGAUGUGGGUUUGGUGAGGAGGGUGUGGAAUAUGAUAUUGAAAACAUCCUGAAACAGCUACAUAUAAUCAAAGUUAAAGAUGAAUGAGUACUAAGAGAGUGUUGUAAAAGUGAAACAACAGGACCCUAUAAUUAAAUUAUUAAUUAAAA
rnacentral:lncRNA from 1 species